rnacentral:misc_RNA from 1 species
GAUGAAGAACGUAGCGAAAUGCGAUAAGUAGUGUGAAUUGCAGAAUUCAGUGAAUCAUCGAAUUUUUGAACGCACAUUGCGCCCCUUGGUAUUCCAUGGGGCAUGCCUGUUCGAGCGUCAUCUACACCCUCAAGCUCUGCUUGGUGUUGGGCGUCUGUCCCGCCUUUGCGCGUGGACUCGCCCCAAAUUCAUUGGCAGCGGUCCUUGCCUCCUCUCGCGCAGCACAUUUGCGCUUCUCGAGGUGCGCGGGCCGCGUCCACGAAGCAACUAUUACCGUCUUUGACCUCGGAUCAGGUAGGGAUACCCGCUGAACUUAAGCAUAUCAAUAAGCGGAGGA